rnacentral:rRNA from 1 species
UACGAAGGGGGCUAGCGUUGUUCGGAAUUACUGGGCGUAAAGCGCACGUAGGCGGACAUUUUAAGUCAGGGGUGAAAUCCCGGGGCUCAACCCCGGAACGGCCUUUGAUACUGGGUGUCUUGAGUUCGGAAGAGGUGAGUGGAAUUGCGAGUGUAGAGGUGAAAAUUCGUAGAUAUUCGCAGGAACACCAGUGGCGAAAGGCGGCUCACUGGUCCGAUACUGACGCUGAGGUGCGAAAGCGUGGGGAGCAAACAGG